AAGCCGCGGGGAGAUGCGAGCGAUCGUUGAUCCGCGGAUGUCCGAAUGGGGAAACCCCUCCUUAGGGAGAUCUGCGGCUGAAUCCAUAGGCUGUAGAGGCGAACCCGGGGAACUGAAACAUCUCAGUACCUGGAGGAAAAGACAUCAAGUGAGAUUCCGCGAGUAGUGGCGAGCGAAAGCGGAGCAGGCCAGUGGUCUUUGCAAGUUAAGCCAAAGUGUCUGGAAAGGCAUGCCAGAGUGGGUGAUAGCCCCGUAGGCGUAUGGCUUGUGAAGAUCCUUGAGUAGGGCGGGGCACGUGAAACCCUGUCUGAACAUGGGGGGACCACCCUCCAAGCCUAAGUACUCGUGCAUGACCGAUAGUGAACCAGUACCGUGAGGGAAAGGUGAAAAGUACCCCUGGCGGGGAGUGAAAUAGUACCUGAAACCAUGUGCCUACAAACCGUCGGAGCCUUUUGGGGUGACGGCGUGCCUUUUGAAGAAUGAGCCUGCGAGUUAUGCUUCGUGGCGAGGUUAACCUGUUGUGGGGUAGCCGUAGCGAAAGCGAGUCCGAACAGGGCGCGUGAGUGGCACGAUCAAGACCCGAAGCGAAGUGAUCUAUCCAUGGGCAGGUUGAAGCGCCGGUAAGACGGCGUGGAGGCCCGAACCCACCAGGGUUGAAAACCUGGGGGAUGAGCUGUGGGUAGGGGUGAAAGGCCAAUCAAACUCCGUGAUAGCUGGUUCUCCCCGAAAUGCAUUUAGGUGCAGCGUCACGUGUUUCUUCCCGGAGGUAGAGCUACUGGAUGGCCGAUGGGCCCCACAAGGUUACUGACGUCAGCCAAACUCCGAAUGCCGAGGUGUGAGAGUGCGGCAGUGAGACUGCGGGGGAUAAGCUUCGUAGUCGAGAGGGAAACAGCCCAGAUCACCAGCUAAGGCCCCUGAAUGACCGCUCAGUGGUGAAGGAGGUAGGAGUGCAAAGACAGCCGGGAGGUUUGCCCAGAAGCAGCCAUCCUUGAAAGAGUGCGUAAUAGCUCACUGGUCAAGUGAUUCCGCGCCGACAAUGUAGCGGGGCUCAAGCGCACCGCCGAAGCCGCGGCAGCACCACGGACACCUAACGGUGGUGGUGCUGGGUAGGGGAGCGUCAUGCGGGUGGUGAAGCGGCGGAGUGAUCCAGCCGUGGACGCCACACGAGUGAGAAUGCAGGCAUGAGUAGCGAAAGACGGGUGAGAAACCCGUCCGCCGGAUGACCAAGGGUUCCAGGGUCAAGCUAAUCUGCCCUGGGUAAGUCGGGACCUAAGGCGAGGCCGACAGGCGUAGUCGAUGGACAACGGGUUGAUAUUCCCGUACCGGCAACGUAGCGCCCAUGACGAGCCCGGUGAUGCUAACCACCCAAAGCCUCCGCUAGCGCACCUUCGGGUGUUGCGGUGGUGGUGGAGCGUGGGACCCGAUCCGGUAGUAGUCAAGCGAUGGGGUGACGCAGGUAGGUAGUCGGUCCACAGCGAUGGUUGUCUGUGGCCAAGGGUGUAGGGAUCCUCCUAGGCAAAUCCGGGGGGUGGCACUGCGAGUGCGGUCCUGAGACCUGAUGGGGACCCCGUAUGGGGGAAGUCGAUGAUCCUGUGCUGUCAAGAAAAACCUCUAGCGAGCUAUGAGCCGCCCGUACCCCAAACCGACUCAGGUGAUCAGGUAGAGAAUACCAAGGCGAUCGAGUGAACCAUGGUUAAGGAACUCGGCAAAAUGCCCCCGUAACUUCGGGAGAAGGGGGGCCCUGUCCCGUGAAACCCCUUGCGGGUUAGCGGGGUGGGGCCGCAGAGACCAGGGGGAAGCGACUGUUUACUAAAAACACAGGUCCGUGCGAAGUCGCAAGACGAUGUAUACGGACUGACUCCUGCCCGGUGCUGGAACGUUAAGGGGACCGGUUAGGCCUCACGGCCGAAGCUGAGAACUUAAGCGCCAGUAAACGGCGGUGGUAACUAUAACCAUCCUAAGGUAGCGAAAUUCCUUGUCGGGUAAGUUCCGACCUGCACGAAUGGCGUAACGACUUCUCCGCUGUCUCAACCGCGAACUCGGCGAAAUUGCACUACGAGUAAAGAUGCUCGUUACGCGCGGCAGGACGGAAAGACCCCGGGACCUUUACUAUAGCUUGGUAUUGGUGCUCGGUUCGGCUUGUGUAGGAUAGGUGGGAGACUGUGAAGUCCACACGCCAGUGUGGGUGGAGUCGACGUUGAAAUACCACUCUGAUGUGACUAGAUGUCUAACCUCGGUCCGUGAUCCGGAUCAGGGACAGUGCCUGGUGGGUAGUUUAACUGGGGCGGUUGCCUCCCAAAGGGUAACGGAGGCGCCCAAAGGUUCCCUCAGCCUGGUCGGCAACCAGGUGUUGAGUGCAAGUGCACAAGGGAGCUUGACUGUGAGACAGACAUGUCGAGCAGGGACGAAAGUCGGGACUAGUGAUCCGGCACCUACUUGUGGAAGUGGUGUCGCUCAACGGAUAAAAGGUACCCCGGGGAUAACAGGCUGAUCUUCCCCAAGAGUUCACAUCGACGGGAAGGUUUGGCACCUCGAUGUCGGCUCUUCGCCACCUGGGGCGGUAGUACGUUCCAAGGGUUGGGCUGUUCGCCCAUUAAAGCGGUACGUGAGCUGGGUUCAGAACGUCGUGAGACAGUUCGGUCCCUAUCCUCUGCGCGCGUUGGAAAUUUGAGAAGGUCUGUCCUUAGUACGAGAGGACCGGGAUGGACGAACCUCUGGUGUGCCAGUUGUCCCGCCAGGGGCACGGCUGGUUGGCUACGUUCGGAAGGGAUAACCGCUGAAGGCAUCUAAGCGGGAAGCCCGUUCCAAGAUGAGGUCUCCCACCCCACGAGGGUUAAGGCCCCCACCAGACCAGUGGGUUGA
rnacentral:rRNA from 1 species